GGCAGUUACUGUAUAAUCAACUUUUAGUGAGAAAGCUUACGAGAGUGACUUGUUUUAUCUUCCCUGUGCAACCUCAGACCACGCAAAUGGCCACUUCUACUACCAACUGAAUUAAUGUCCAAGCCCAAGGGACAUACCUGAUCUCCUCCUUCGAGUAUUCUUAGGACCUGUGAUAUUGCAGGUCUGGAUUCUGGAUCUGGAUGUAGGCACAAGAAAGCAGCUUGACCCAUAGCCUUUAGUUGAUGGGGAAAUUCAUGGACUUGCUCAGUGGCUAAGUAUGGAUCCAGUAAUCGGUAAAUUUUUGUC
rnacentral:misc_RNA from 1 species